CAGCUGCUGGUCCCCAGUGAGCUGGAUAAGAGGCAGCCAUAUCUAAUCCACUCAAGAUGACUGACCCACCCAGGUCUCCAUCGGGGAGUGUCCAAGGUGAGCCUCGGCGACUUGUGCUAGAAUAAGGUGCUCAAGUGUGAGUGCGCUCCCAGCAAAUGGAUGCAGAAGCCAGCUUGAAGGGGUUUCCAGGUUGGCCAAAUUUGGAACAAUUUGUGUAUCAAAAGAAGUAAAUAACAAAAAAAGGACUAAAAUGGAUUAUAACAUUAGUUUCAAAAUCCUUGAGCCCAUAGCGAUUAAGAAAAAAAAAAAAGAGAGAGAGAAGAAAGUGAAAAGAAAGCUCUGCUUUACAGAAAAAUGUCAGCUAACAAUGUAGAAGAAUUUCUACUCAACUGAGUACUUCAGGCAAGGGUGAUCAACACAUGCUAAACCACUGGGUGAGUGACUGUCAGUAAACAGGAUAUUCACAUUGUGCUGAAGUAUCACCCCAAAUACUAACAAGAGAGGAGGAAAUGAACCCUUAUGGUAGAGAGAUCAGCUGUAGCAUCACUAAGAGGAGGUGAUAAUAAUCUUACAGAUACAAUCUGCCAUCACAUGCUUUCUGAUGUAGAGACCUGCCAAAAACAUUCGUGCCAAAAACAUUUAACUUGAACCUAAUCAAGCCUCUCCACCUAACUUCUGGUUUCCAGGAAAUACAAGGAAUACAGAGAAAUGUUCAACGCUGUCAUGAGGAAAAAAGCAAACAAACCAGAAUGGGGCAUCCUAUAACCCAC
rnacentral:lncRNA from 1 species